UACGUAGGGUGCGAGCGUUUAAUCGGAAUUACUGGGCGUAAAGCGUGCGUAGGCGGUUCGCUGUGUCCGAUGUGAAAGCCCCCGGGCUCAACCUGGGAACUGCAUUGGAAACUAGCGGGCUGGAGUGUGGCAGAGGGGGGGUAGAAUUCCACGUGUAGCAGUGAAAUGCGUAGAUAUGUGGAGGAAUACCGAUGGCGAAGGCAGCCCCCCUGGGAUAACACUGACGCUCAUGCACGAAAGCGUGGGGGAGCAAACAGG
rnacentral:rRNA from 1 species